rnacentral:lncRNA from 1 species
UAUGAACCAACAUGGAGUUUCCAAAGACGAAGCAGUCAAAAUACUUCAAAAAAUGGCUACAGAUUGUUGGAAAGAAAUUAAUGAAGAAUGUAUGAGGCAGAGUCAAGUGUCAGUGGGUCACCUAAUGAGAAUAGUUAAUCUGGCACGUCUUACGGAUGUGAGUUACAAGUAUGGAGACGGUUACACUGAUUCCCAGCAAUUGAAACAAUUUGUUAAGGGAUUGUUCGUUGAUCCAAUUUCUAUUUGAACUCAAUAAUUCCUUUUUUCAUUUUGUACUUCAAUAAGUUAUAAAUGACCCGUGCACUAGCUGUGGUGAUUAUUGUAUUUAAAUUGCCUUUUAAAUUAAUAUAUGAAUCAAGAAUUUUAUAGAAAAAAUCUCAUAUUAUUAAUCUUUUUGCAAGAGCUAUUGUUCGAGAAAGGAAGAAAGGGGGGAAAAUAUUAUUUUUACUUUUUGAUGAUGAUGAUAUGUAUAUUCUAUUAUAUUCUAGUAUAUUCUCUUAUUGUCUAAUUAGGCACUAUCCUUUUAUUGUCUAAUUAGGCACUAAUUUAGUUUUCCUAUUUUAGUUAAAAAUAUGUAUUUAAAUAGACACUAGCAUUCUCAUUGUAUAUACACUUUAGAAUACAAAUUCAAUCUUAUUAUUCUCUUUUAGAUGGUAUCAGAGCCUCCCUUCCGUUUCUCAAUAUUUUGUCACCGAAUUUAACUUCCAUCACCACUGAAAGAUUCUUCUCUCUGUGACGAAUUCAAUGCCAUAAAAAUCAAUCCAAACAGACAUCAAACGCUCCGUUAUGGUCCGCCGAAAGUUUUUGUCGUAAUUUAAAACGUUACAAAGCUUGGAAGUUGAAGACAAUCAAAACGAAUCGUCAUUUUGACUGCUUAAUAUUCACUCUGCCGUUUAUUCAGCUGCCGCAAUUUUUUAAUUACUGGUUUGUAGCUGUCCGGUUCAAUCAAACCAGUUCACUUUGGUCAGUCUGAUUCAUCCAUUUUCUGAUCAAUUUUUUUUUUCAACUCGAAACAGUUUCUAAGGUUUUUGACUUUUCUGAAUAUUUUUUUGAGGUCUGUUUUGUCAAAAUAAGACUUUCUAUUUCCGGUUUGGUUCAGAUCUUAUUAUUUCCGCAUAUUUUUUUUGGUUUCGCGAUCUUAUUUCGAAACUCAAGCUUUUUGAUUCUCAUCCAUCUUGAGUUUGAGGGAGAUGAUAAUAUGUAUAUUCUAGUAUAUUCUCCUAUUGUCUAAUUAGAUACUAAUUAGACACUAAUUUAGUUUUCCUAUUUUAAUUAAAGAUGUCUAUAUAAAUAGACACUAGAACUCUUAUUAUAAUAUACAAUUUAAAAUAAAAAUUCAAUCUUAUUAUUCUUUUAUACAGAUAAAAUGAAAGAAAAAGGAGGAAAAUAAAUUAAACAGUAAGUUUUCUUUUUAAUGAAUAAUAAAUUGACUGUGUAUUAUCAAAUAACUACAGACUGAACAACAAAGAGGACACGUUGCAUCUUGCAUCGACUGCUAUAUGAACCAACAUGGAGUUUCCAAAGACGAAGCAGUCAAAAUACUUCAAAAAAUGGCUACAGAUUGUUGGAAAGAGAUUAAUGAAGAAUGUAUGAGACGGAGUCAAGUGUCAGUGGGUCACCUAAUGAGAAUAGUCAAUCUGGCACGUCUUACGGAUGUGAGUUACAAGUAUGGAGACGGUUACACUGAUUCCCAGCAAUUGAAACAAUUUGUUAAGGGAUUGUUCGUUGAUCCAAUUUCUAUUUGAAUUCUGUAAAUCCAAUGUACUUUAAACGUGUGGUGAUUAUUGUAUUUAAAUUUCCUUUAAUAUAUGAAACAAUAUGGAGUUCCCAAGGACUCUAAUAUGUUAUCUUAAAAAAUACAUUAUACAUUUUUUAUAAAUGUAUUACCUUAUAAAAUAAGACUCUAAUGCUCUCUAAACUUUUCUGUAUUUUCAAUGGUAAAAGUUAAAAAGAGAAAUAUAAAUAAUAAUACUUAUGAAAAAAAAGUAAAUAUAGAGUAAAUAUUUAAAGAGUAUAUUUGAUUUAAAUAAAAAAAUUUAUUUUUUAUAUUUAAAUUUUUUUAAAAAAAUAUAUUUUAUUAUAAAAAUCACAUUUGAAAAUGUCUUUAAAGCAAAAAAAUCUCAAAAUGCUUUUUAGAGCACUAUUAAAAAUGCUCUUUUCCACUGUAUAAUGUAUUCAGCUAUUUAACAACUAAAAGAUCUAUUUUAUUAAUAUCUUUCUAUCAUUUGCUGUAUAAUAUUUUAAUAAAACACAAAUAAUGAAAAUGUUUAAUCUAAUAAUUUUUUUUUUUCAUUUCAGAGCUAUCUUAAUUAUAAUAAAAUACUUUAGAUUUAUGGAAUUACGUUUGAAUAAAAUUAUUUUUAUAACACAUCAAUAAAAUUACUGUAGGUUAAUACAAUAAAUUAUCCGUGUGACAAAAGAUAUAUAUAUAUAUAUAUUAUUAUUUUCAGAUUAUUCUAAUAUAAAAUAAAUUAAAGAUUUCCAAAAAGUAAACCUAGGUGGCAGUGCAGUCAGCAUAGACUACUUGCCACUUUCGACGUAAGUGAUUAUGACAGUAAAUCUAAUAUCAUUCAUCGUCCAGGUGAGUCAACAUGGCGCAUCGCCUGCAGAUUAUUGUUACAAUUUCUUUUUUGCUUCUGCUUUCAUCUUUACGACCGUCUGUUCCUGAAAAGAAGUUUCUGCCAACCACCCUGAUUCAUUCUAAUUAAAUAAAUAUUUUAUCUAAUUUUAAUGUAUAAAAUAAUUAAUUAUAAAAAAUUUCAAUUACAAUUUAAAUUAAUUGUGAAUAAAAAUAAAUUUUAUAAUGUAAUAAGUUAUCAAUCUUUUAAAUUUUUCUUUAAAAUUCUUUUAUAUAAUAAUAUAUAUAUAUAUAUAUAUAUAUAUAUAUUUUAAAAUUAUAUAUUAUUCUGUAUUGCAUCUUACUCUAUUAUUAUUUAUUUUUUAAUAUUAUUUUUAUAAGAUAUUAAUAUAUUUUAUUUUUAAAAUUAAAUAUCAAGUAAAAAAUAUUAAUGCUCAAACUCUUAUUAAAUCAUAGUUUUAAAAUUUAUUUUAUCUCAAACAUACAAUCAUUUAAUAAUUGAUGGAUCCUUUUGAAAAGUAAAUCUCAUAGUUUAUUGUGGCGUGUUACUGGCAUUUACGUAACGUAUGACAAAACUGAACUGUCUUUCAUUUAUGAUAAGGUAAAACGUUUUAUUUAUUUUAAACAGAAUGGAAAAAGGAAAAGGACAGGAUAAUACGCACCGUUUCUGCACCCAAUAAAAAAUAUAAAAAAAGUCCUACAACAUCAGUCAAUUUUGGUUUCAGAUUUUCUUUUUUUUCUUUGCUUUUAUAGUCAAAUUAGAGUUUGAAAUGGAGUAAAGCUGCCUCUCAAUAAAAGCCAAAAAGAAAUUGAGGCCAUUCAGUUGCCCCCAGGUGCCUUAUUUGAACGUCUGGAACAGAAUGGCAGUCCAUUAAGUGAGCUUAACCUUGUUUAUAUAAUUGUUCUAUAUUUAUGUUUUUUAGAUUAAAUAAAAUUUUAUAAUUUAUUAGAUUUAAUUUUAUUAAAAAAUAAUAAAAAUAAAUAUAAAUAUUAUAACUGAAUCAAAUUGAUUUUAUCAAUAUAUAACUAUAGACCAAUUUGACCGUAUUGAACAAAGUAGGUGGCGCAUAAUGAAUAAUAUUCUUUGGCAGGCGCAUGCUAUUGUUGAAUAUAAUCCUGUUGCCAAAUAAUUUUAGUACCUUAGCAGCCAAACCGACCAUGCGAUUACAUAUUCAUUCUUAAUAAUAUACUUGGACGUGACUUUUUAUAUAUGUAUAUUUAGAAAUAUUUUGUGAAGAUCAUUAUGUAAAAGGAAAAGAAGAACCCUAAUUGGGGCAUGCGCCUGCGAAAUAAUAUUCAUUCUGCUAAUUUGUAAGGGAAAGACUUCGGUGUUUGGGAAUUAUAUAAACAAAAUGGUGGUCAAGCAAUAUGAGCUUGACCAGGCUUACUCAGUGGACUGCCAUUCUGUUCUCGACGUUCAAAUAAGACACUUGGGGCCUCAUUUUCUUUUUGGCUUUUAUUGAGAAACCAUAGAUUUGGAAACUGUCAACAGCUUUAUUCCAUUCCAACCUUGUAUUUGACUAAAUAAGCAAAGUAAGAGAAAAAGAAAAUAAUGAAUAUGAAAAUCUUAAAAUUUGAUUGAUAAUGUUGAGUUGAUGUUCUACAACUUUCCACAGGUUGAGUGUAUUGGAUUAAGGGAAUUAAAAUAUUUAAAAAAAUUGAAAAAAUUCUUAUGUAACUUUAAAAUAGUCCAUGAAAAUAAUAUUAACUUUUUAUAUAUGAAUUUUAAAGAUGUUGUUUCAUUAGCGAAACGAUGACGAAAUGGGCAUAUAAUAUUUAUUACGUAUAUAAAAUAUAAGUAGUAUUGUUUAGAAAGGCGUACGAGUUACUUGAGCGAAUGGUACUGUUUAUUAAUAUAUAUAUAAAAAGGCAAAGGCAGAGAGUGUUUAGAGAUGUCAUCAGUGACAAGUCUCAUUAGUUGCCCAAAAAUGUCAUCACAACCAGCAGUUUUACAAUCCAACUUCCUUAACAGAAACGUCCAGCCAUUUCUAACCAUUCCCUCUGCUUCUACCAAGUAUAGUGGCACCGCUUGUUUCUCUUCCUUUCCCUCAGUUAAAUUAAAUGCUAGACCACCGCAAGCAUGCUUCUCCUUGAAUAAAAACAACGAUCACUCUACCCCCACCUCCAUCCUUCCUCCAGGACCUUGGCAGUUACCUCUGAUAGGUAACAUACACCAGCUCGUCGGCCAUUUACCCCAUAGCCGCCUGAGAGACUUGGGAAAAAUUUAUGGACCUGUGAUGAGUGUUCAACUCGGAGAAGUUUCUGCUGUGGUGGUAUCAUCAGUAGAAGCAGCCAAAGAAGUGCUGAGGAUCCAGGAUGUCAUCUUCGCUGAAAGACCUCCUGUCCUCAUGGCAGAAAUUGUGCUCUACAAUCGUCAUGAUAUUGUUUUUGGGUCUUAUGGAGAUCACUGGAGACAACUUAGAAAGAUUUGCACAUUGGAGUUGCUUAGUCUUAAGCGCGUGCAAUCUUUCAAAUCAGUCAGGGAAGACGAGUUUUCAAAUUUUAUCAAAUACCUUUCUUCCAAAGCCGGAACUCCAGUCAAUCUUACUCACGACUUGUUUUCUUUAACAAAUUCUGUUAUGUUAAGAACCUCCAUAGGCAAGAAAUGCAAAAACCAAGAAGCAAUUUUAAGAAUCAUCGACAGUGUUGUUGCGGCAGGAGGAGGUUUCAGUGUUGCUGAUGUGUUUCCUUCCUUCAAAUUGCUCCAUAUGAUUAGCGGAGACAGGUCAAGUCUUGAGGCCUUACGUCGAGACACAGACGAGAUACUUGACGAAAUCAUUAAUGAACACAAAGCCGGCAGGAAGGCUGGUGAUGAUCACGACGAAGCUGAAAAUCUUCUGGAUGUUCUUUUGGAUCUUCAGGAAAAUGGAGACCUGGAAGUCCCUUUAACCAACGACAGCAUCAAAGCAACAAUUCUGGUUAGUUUUCCAAACCCUUCCCUCCUGUUAAAGUCACGUUAAUGAAUCCUUAAUUAAGGUCUUCAACUCAUGAAAGUAGUAAUUGUAUUGCAGGAUAUGUUUGGGGCUGGUAGCGACACGUCCUCAAAAACAGCAGAAUGGGCGUUGUCGGAGUUGAUGAGACACCCAGAAAUAAUGAAAAAGGCACAGGAGGAAGUGAGGGGAGUCUUUGGUGAUAGCGGAGAAGUCGAUGAAACACGCCUUCAUGAAUUAAAAUACUUGAAGUUAGUGAUCAAAGAAACAUUGAGAUUACAUCCUGCCAUUCCAUUAAUUCCAAGAGAAUGCAGGGAAAGGACUAAGAUUAAUGGAUAUGACGUAUAUCCCAAAACCAAGGUCCUUGUCAAUAUUUGGGCAAUCUCAAGAGAUCCAAAUAUAUGGAGCGAAGCAGAUAAAUUCAAACCAGAAAGAUUCUUGAACAGUUCACUUGAUUACAAGGGUAAUUAUCUGGAAUUCGCUCCGUUUGGUUCUGGGAAAAGGGUAUGUCCUGGUAUGACAUUAGGUAUAACUAAUCUAGAGCUCAUCCUUGCAAAAUUACUAUAUCAUUUUGACUGGAAACUUCCUGAUGGAAUAACGCCUGAGACGCUUGACAUGACUGAAUCUGUUGGUGGCGCAAUUAAAAGAAGAACAGACCUUAACUUGAUUCCUGUUCUAUAUCCUACACAUUGAACUUAUGCAGCGUUCCUUAUGUAAUUUCCUUUCUUUUUUUUUUUUUUUUUUUUCUUAAAAACUUAUUAUUUAUGUGGCCAGUUAAAAUUUGUUAUGGUCUGAUAUCGUGGAAGAGAGUGUAAUAAAAUCCAAAUUUCAUCUUAUUAAAAUUUUUUAGAAAUAAAGCAGUGUAUCAGUCCAUUUAUUUAUUUAUAGUAAAAUAUUAAUUCUUUUUAUAUUCUACAGUACUGAAAUAUAUAAUUUAGUUAAAAUUUAAAUUUUAAAUUAACUGGGAGUAAUACAGUUUAUAUAAUUAGCAACUUUGUAUAAUAUUAACCAUUAUGAACAAAUAGAAUAAGUCGUAGCAAUUGGGAAUAAUAUGUACAAUAAUUAAAAUAAUACAAAUACUAUAUAACUAAAUAUUAUUAUGUUUAGAAUUACUGGGGUUAAUGGUUAUAUUCGAUUCUCAAAAUCGAGUCCAACCCAAUAACAUCGAUGGAUUUGAAAUUAUUAUAAUUCUGGUUUUCAUGUGAGUUGGUGGGAUUAUGAGUUUAAACAAUCCUAAGACCAAAAGUAAUGGGUGAGCAUCCCAUGUAAAUGAGACUCACCUUUAUAUCUCUUGAUCCACCAUGGCCAUGACCAGGUCACCUAUUUUCCUUGAAAUCUGAUUUUGCGAUCAAUAAAUAAACACCUACAUUAACUUGUAAGUAUAUAUAUAUAUAUUUAAACAUAUAAGAUAAAGAUAUAUAAAUAUAUUGGUUUUUAGAAAUCUCAUGAACAAGUUUCAAUAAAUUGAUAGAAUAAGAGAAAUAAGUUUGAGGAUUCGCUAAUAAAGAAAAGAGAGUUAUGGUUCAUAUAGUUAUCAAACUAUAAGAAGGAACCAAAUUAAAUUCAAGAGUUUACUUAUUAUAUUAUGGACUAAUAAAGAUAUUUUCUGUUCGGACUUGUUAGAAAUUAUAUAAACAUAUUGGUUCGCCUCUAUAUUUAAAAGGUUAAAUUUUAUUAUUUUAUUUAAUACAUUAUUACAAGUUAUUAUCGUUAGUUUGUUCUUAAAGAUUAUAAAGAAAAGAAGGAAAAAAAAUAAAACUAUCGAACAUUUAUAAAAUAAAUAAAUAAACCUUAAAUAAAAAUCUCAAAAAUUUUGACAUUUCCAUAUAUACAAGGAUUUUAGACACAAAAGGUGGCAUCCAAAUUAUGAACUGCUUCUGUUAAAUGUUAGAACAGAAUAGGAGCUCAGGAAGACAAGUCUUUUACUCCAUUAAAGUCCAUAACUUGCAAAUUUAAUUUUGGAUCACAUAAGUCUAUUUCAGUAGGGACGCCAAUGGAUAUUCUGAAUGCUAUUAAACAACAUUUCCAUAUAUCUAAAGAAAAAGAAAAGAAAAAAAGUGAAAUAAGAAAAAAAGGAAAAAGAUUCUCAAGAUUGAAAAGGAAUAGAUCCAAAAUCUCUAAACCACUCUUGAAUUUGUUUGUUUGAGACAAACCAUCAGAACAGCAUUAGGAGAAGGACAUGAGAAUGAAACAUUAAUAAACAAUUUGAGCUUAAUUACCCACAUAAACUGUAGCCUUUUCAAGUCUCUGAAAUUUAAAGAAACACAAUUCACAUUAAUUCCUCAUGUACAGUGCUUAAAUUGCUUUAGCUAACUUAGACUUAGUUUAGAUUUAUUUAUUCACCAUCUCUUAAAUCUUUUUUCUUAUAGUUAUUUCAUCCAUGGGGUGGACCUCUCACUGAUUCUCUUUCAUUACAGUGGCCCAAUUUUGACUCUCAGUCAGCACUUACACCAAGAGGAAUCUAAAAAUCAAUCCAGAAUACAAGGAUCCCAGUAGCAGCCUUAUUUUCAUACUCUAUACUUUAAUUAAUUGUCAGAUGAUCAUGGGGCAAUAAAUGACAUGGGAAGUCUUUAUAAUAAACUCUAUUAUUUCAGAAUCAAAUCCCAAUUCAUUGAAUGGGAAAAUAUUUUAAUUUCUAGCUUUCUGAUGAUACAGCUGACUAAAUUUGACUUCAUAAUACUUGUCUUGUAUUCUAGGCUACUGAUUUUGACUUAAAAGAAACAUUUGGAGAAUAGUAUUCUUUUAUAUAUAAAAUCUUAAUCCGGGUCUACAGACCUCAGUUACGUCUAACACUACCCAACAACUCCGCUUCCGAAUUAUUUGAUUACUUAAUUUGUUUUGAAGUUAAUAGUAGAAAAAUCUAAAAUUUGUUUGUAAAAAUUUCAAAACUUUAAAAUUUAGGGGGAAAAAAGCAGAAAACCUAAAAUACGUGGACAGAAAGUUAUAUAGAAAAAAAUUAGAAAUUAGAAGUCAAGUAAUUGGAAAAUAAAGUUUGAGGGGCCAACACGUUAUACCAAUUCUAACAAUACUUUUUAUAUGCUUUUUUUAUUAAAUUAUAAUUUUAUUUUUAUUAAUAAAAUAAAAAUAAAUAGAAAGAAAGAAAAAAUGUGACUUCAUGCAUAGAUUGGGGGGAAGUAACGUGAAUAAGUAAAGGAUCAGUUUUAAUCAUAUUUAAAGAAGUUGAAUUUGAUUAUUUUCUAAUUUAAAAUAUAAAAAGUUUUAACUCCUAGUUCGAAAUUAAGAUAUAAUUAAUUAUUCUUUUUAUCUCUAUAAUUAAUUAAUUUCUCUCCUUUUCAUUAAAUAAAUUUUUUAUGUAAUUAAAUAUAAUAUAAUUUCUUUUCACUCUUUAUUGUCGCGUAUAGCAUUAAAAAUAUAUAUAAAAUAAAAAAUAAAUAAUACAAUAUAUUUACAAAUUACUUAAAAAAUACGUUGUCGCUUUUUAAAUUUAUUUUAAACGGAAAAAAAAAAAUCAGAGACUAUUUUAAAAAUUUAAGUAUUGAAUAUGAUUUAACAGCUCCGUUGGCAAUGGUGAAAUAUUUUGGAGUACCUUUGAGGCUCCCCAAAAAUGAACGUGCAUAAUCAGUAUAUAGCUGACAUCAGUCAUCUAUAAAAGCUAACCACAAUCUUGGCAUUCAACACUCAAACAAAGAAACAAGCUAGCAAGCUUUCACCAAAAGAAAGCAGGCGAGCAAGCUCAUUCUGAAAUAUGGCAUUGCCACCGGUUGCUAUGCAAUCAAACUCUGAAAAGCUUAAGUACUUCUUUUAUAGAUUACCUUCCACUAGGUUGGAGUACGGCAAUAAUCGCUUCCAUUUCCUUCCCUCAUCUGCUAAGCCACACGCUAAACCACCAGCUCAAGCAUGUUUAUCCUCAACAACCCACCAAGAAGUUCGUCCCUUAGCACACUUUCCUCCAACUGUCUGGGGCAAUCGCUUUGCUUCCUUGACCUUUAAUCCAUCGGUGAGUGCUUAAUUAUUUAACAUGAAUUCUUAUCAAAAAAAGAAAAUGAUUCAGUUGGUGGUCAUGAUUUUAAUCCACUAUAUAAUCAUUUUGUCUAUUCUUGUUACUUCAAGCAACUUACUUACUCCCGCCCCCUCUCUGAAAUUCUUGUGCAGGAAUUUGAAUCGUAUGAUGGACGGGUAAAUGUGCUGAAGGAAAAAGUUAAAGACUUGCUAGUUUCAUCUGCAACUGACUCAGUGGAGACCGUUGUUUUGAUCGACUUACUAUGCCGUCUUGGAGUAUCAUAUCACUUUGAAAAUGAUAUUGAAGAGCUACUAAGUAAAAUCUUCAACUCCCAGCCUGACCUUGUCGAUGAAAAAGAAUGUGAUCUCUACACUGCGGCAAUUGUAUUCCGAGUUUUCAGACAGCAUGGUUUUAAAAUGUCUUCUGGUGAGCACUCGGGGAAGAUAUAUGCAAUACCAAUAUGUGUUUGUUAGAUGCUAAUAUUUGCUUUCUGCCAGUUGUUUACAUAUGAUAAUACCAUGCACGAACUGAUAUUUGGUUAAAUGAUUUUUUGAAGCAGAUGUGUUUAGCAAAUUCAAGGACAGUGAUGGUAAGUUCAAGGAAUCCCUACGGGGUGAUGCUAAGGGUAUGCUCAGCCUUUUUGAAGCUUCCCAUCUAAGUGUGCAUGGAGAAGACAUUCUUGAAGAAGCCUUUGCUUUCACCAAGGAUUACUUACAGUCCUCUGCAGUUGAGUUAUUCCCUAAUCUCAAAAGGCAUAUAACGAACGCCCUAGAGCAGCCUUUCCACAGUGGCGUGCCGAGGCUAGAGGCCAGGAAAUUCAUCGAUCUAUACGAAGCUGAUAUUGAAUGCCGGAAUGAAACUCUGCUCGAGUUUGCAAAGUUGGAUUAUAAUAGAGUUCAGUUAUUGCACCAACAAGAGCUGUGCCAGUUCUCAAAGUAAUUAAUAUAUCUUUUGAUUUACCAUUGCUGUCUUCAUUUACUUAUUUCUUUUUUUGAGAUAAUGAUACGAAGACCAAAUGUGUAAUUCUGUUUGAUUAUUCACAUAUCUGCAGGUGGUGGAAAGACCUGAAUCUUGCUUCGGAUAUUCCUUAUGCAAGAGACAGAAUGGCAGAGAUUUUCUUUUGGGCAGUCGCGAUGUACUUUGAGCCUGACUAUGCACACACCCGAAUGAUUAUUGCGAAGGUUGUAUUGCUUAUAUCACUAAUAGAUGAUACAAUUGAUGCGUAUGCAACAAUGGAGGAAACUCAUAUUCUUGCUGAAGCAGUCGCAAGGUUUGUAUUUUUGUGUUACUAUAGCGCUACAUAAGCAACUCAAGAAUACUUGUAAAGAUUAUGUCUAAACCAAAUUAAUGAUUUGUGUCGUCAGGUGGGACAUGAGCUGCCUCGAGAAGCUGCCAGAUUACAUGAAAGUUAUUUAUAAACUAUUGCUAAACACCUUCUCUGAAUUCGAGAAAGAAUUGACGGCGGAAGGCAAGUCCUACAGCGUCAAAUACGGAAGGGAAGCGGUAAUGUAUUUUUCAUAUUUUCAUUAAUUGUAAUUAAUGUCGUACAUUAUCUGAAAUUUGGUUUAUUGGCAACGAUCAGUUUCAAGAACUAGUGAGAGGUUACUACCUGGAGGCUGUAUGGCGCGACGAGGGUAAAAUACCAUCGUUCGAUGACUACUUGUAUAAUGGAUCCAUGACCACCGGAUUGCCUCUCGUCUCAACAGCUUCUUUCAUGGGAGUUCAAGAAAUUACAGGUCUCAACGAAUUCCAAUGGCUGGAAACUAAUCCCAAAUUAAGUUAUGCUUCCGGUGCAUUCAUCCGACUUGUCAACGACUUAACUUCUCAUGUGGUGAGAUUUUAUUUAAUUAUUUAAUUAAACAAAAAUUAUUAAAGAAUAAUAAAUUGACUGUGUAUUAUCAAAUAACUACAGACUGAACAACAAAGAGGACACGUUGCAUCUUGCAUCGACUGCUAUAUGAACCAACAUGGAGUUUCCAAAGACGAAGCAGUCAAAAUACUUCAAAAAAUGGCUACAGAUUGUUGGAAAGAGAUUAAUGAAGAAUGUAUGAGACGGAGUCAAGUGUCAGUGGGUCACCUAAUGAGAAUAGUCAAUCUGGCACGUCUUACGGAUGUGAGUUACAAGUAUGGAGACGGUUACACUGAUUCCCAGCAAUUGAAACAAUUUGUUAAGGGAUUGUUCGUUGAUCCAAUUUCUAUUU